AUGGAUGAGGAGAUGUCCUACAAAGAGUUCCUGGAUCGCAAUGACUCCUGGUCAGCAGAGGAGAGGGACCUGUGCUUCAAACCCAUGGACAUGGCUGACCCCUUCAGCAUCCACAGAGGGGAGAACCUGCCGGAUUUGUCCUUCCCUACGGACAUGAAGAACGUGCCGCUGUUCCCGGGCCACGCCGAUGCUUCCAGGGACAUCCUUGCUCCACAUGGAUCCAUGAUGGGACCUGAACAGCCUUUCCUGGGGUCCCUGUAUUCCCCUGCAGAGGCUCUGGACCCAUCAGCCUUCAUUGGCCUGGAGUCAGGCACAGAAUUCCUGCCAGGAAAAGCAGCACCUGAAGAAUACUGGAUGGGAGCUCAGCAGGACAUGAAGGGACCAGAUACCUCCUUCUUUGUUGAGCCACCAGUGCCCCCCGCAGCCACAGAAGCCAUAAGGACGAGCCUGCCCGAGAGCCCGACGGCAGCAGCGCCUGCCAGCGCUCCUGCUGCAGCCGCAGCGUCGCCAGCAGAGGCUGCAGCCACCGAUGGACCAAAGGGGGCAGCGCCAGGUGCAGCCUCUGUUCCCGCUCCCGACGCCGCGUCCCUUCCCACAGAAAAGGCCGGGGCUGUCCACGCCGGAGACACCAAACCUCCCCAAGCUCCAGAGGCUGGAGCUGCUCCUUCAGCAGCAGCCAACCCUUUCCAGGCCACGGAUGUGGGGUUUUCUCCUGCACCUGAAGCCAGCCCUCCCAAAGGUGUCAAUGACGUGUCUGCCCCAGGGACAGAGCUCGCCUUUGCCCCGGCAGCAGAUGCUGGAUCCCACCACGGGGUGGAUUUGGGGUUUGCUCCAGCAGCAGAUAUGGAAUCCCACCAUGCCAUGGAUUUGGGGUUUGCCCCAGCAGCAGAUGCAGAACCUCACCACACCUUGGAUUUGGGAUUUGCUCCAGCAGCGGAUGACAAAGCUCAGCAUGUUAUGGGCUCUGAGUUUGGCCCAGCAGCAGAUGCAGAGUUUGCCCCAGCACCAGAAGUCAACCAUCACCAUGCUCUGGAUUCUGAGUUUGCUCCUGUGGCUCCAGCCAAGCCUCUCCCUGCUGUGGAUCCCGGGAAUGUGUCAGUGGAAGCUCAGCCUGUCCCCGCAGCUGCCCCCAGGAUUGCUGUGUCUGAGGAGCUGCUGACAUCCGAGGCUGCCCUUCAGCAAGACAAGUCCCCUGCAGAAGCAACAGCAAAGGUGGAAGCAGAAUCCAAAGUCCCAGAAGUUUGUGUGGAUCACUCAGAGAAGAUGAAGGACAGGAAACCUCCCCCCAGCCCCCCGGACGAGCACCUUCCUGGGAAAACCAACCACCACCUGGAGCCAGCAGCUGAAGCAAAAGGAGCACUAGAAAAUAAAGACCUUCCAGAAAAAUCUGCUCCUGCUGAGGAUGGGGAGACACAAAAGGAGGAAGCUGAGCACAACCACGUCUCACAUGCGGAACCUCAGGAAGGGAAGACCCCGCAGGAGCCCACAGGUCUUCCCACUGCACAAGUCAGGCAAGCUCCCAAAUCCAGGGACCGCGGGUUUGGCAGAGCAAAACCUGCCCCAGUGCCUCUCACAGAUGUGCCAGAGGAGCAUCCUGUAGGUCUCCCGCAGCAGAAGAGUCCUGAGCCCAAAGCAGACCCCUGUUCCACAGUGGAGCUUGGCUGUGGUGCUGGAACAUCCCCUCGCUUUAGGGUUCCACACAGAAAGGCCACCGGUGUCCCCACGGAGCCUGUGGAGAGCUGCAGAGAUCCCUCCCGGGAGAACUGGGAUUUGGAAGGUGCCAUUGUGAAGAAAAAGAAAAAGAAACCAAAACAGAGGAGAAACCAGCUGCCGAGAGGGAUGGAGUUCUGGGAUGAGAAGGGAACAGCCUCCAGAGCUGCCAGGAGCGCUCCCUUUGGGCUGGAGUGGCAGAGCCCCGAUGUGUGCCCCGCAACGCCCGCAGCUCGCGGGGAGCUGGCCCCAGGAGGCAGAGCUCUGGAUGUGCCAAAGGAUGCUAAAAUAACAACUGGGACUCAUAUCCUGGAUGAGCAAAAUGCCUUCCCCGUGCCAGCCCCAGGACAGCAGGCCCCAAAAUCCGGUGUGUUGGAUGCCAAACGCAGGGAGGAAGUGAAGGCAGAGGGAAUGAGAGAUGGCAGCUGGAUGCUGGAAUCUAAAGGCAAAACCAAAGAGGUUCCCUCGCAGCAGGUGGGGGAAUCUGCUACAGCAAAGGGACCCACCAAGCCCACGGAGAGAGAUUUUCUCAAUAAAAAUGAGAAGAGGGAGGAUAAGGAGUCAAAAGGUGCUGACCUGACGGUCAAUCUGAGCAAAACAGAAACUCCCUUAGAGACCAAACCUUUGGAAUUGCCCCUUUCCCAUAAAAAUAAGGAGCCUAAAACCCCAUCUCCAGGGUGGGAAGCAGCCAGUGACUCUGUCCAUCAGCCUUCCCUGGAAGCAGCAGCCAAGAAAAACUGGGAAGAAAGCAAAGGGCUUGAAAAGGAAUCCCCCAAACAGCCUCAACUGGAGGCUGCAGCCAUGGAGGACAAGCUCCCUGUGGAGCCAAAGGUAGCUGGAGAAACUAAAACAGGGUCAGAGGGAGGACUGAAGACCCCAACAGAUGCUCCUGGAGCUCCUGUUGCAGCCUUAGUUCCACCAAAAGCUGGGGAGGUUCCAGCUGUGCAGGACAGAAGGGCCGAGGGUGUUCCCGAUGCUCCCAAGCAUCCCACCCCUGGCGAGGCAGGGGGCAGGGGGAUGGCAGCAGAUUCCCCAGAUCCAAACAAAGGGAAAGGAUUCACUGCUUCAGAGCAGCAGGCUGGAAAAGAUCCCAGCUUUACACCCGGGAUGGACAGGCCUAGAAAAAAGCGCAGUGAAGGGAAAGGCAAAAGAAUUAAAAGCUUCUCGGAGCAGAUGAUGCUCUCAGAGGAUGGAGGCAAAUUCACUGAUGGAGGGAGGACGGAUGAGGCUGGAAAAGAGGCAGCUUAUCUCGAAAAUGGCCAGGGUGUUGCUGCCAGAGGACACCCAUCAGCCAGCACUGCACAGGCCUGGCCUGCAGACAAGCCCAAAAAAAGAGGCAGCGAUGGAAGGAGCAAAAAAGGGGAAAGAAGCUUUUUCCAGCAGCCUUUCCUUGAGAAUAAGAUGGAUGCAGGGAGUUUUCCUGAGGUAGUUGAUAAGGUGAAGGAGGGAAGUGGUAAGGGCAGAGAGGAGGGCUGUGGCCCUGCUGGGGGCUUGCAGGAAAACGCAGCUAAAGCGCAAAGGCCAAUUGAGCUGGGAAUGGAGAAACCGAAAGAAAAUAUUGGGAAAGGUGAAAUAGCUGAUUUGGGAGCUUUAGACCAAGCUUUGCUGCUGGAGAAGAGCAGAGAGGAAGCCAAAAAUCCUGCUCUGGCUGCCACCAUCAGCCCAACAAAACAGGGGGAUUUGGCUGGGAAGGGCAGAGAGGCCGGAGGUGCUGCCGGCGAAUCUGCCGGGCUCAGCUCGGAUGUGACAGUGCUGGCAGAGAAACCCAGGAAGAGGAGCAGUGAUGGGAGGAGGAAACAGCCUGAGAAAAGUCCCUCCGGGCAGGCAGCUGUCCUGGGUGCUGGGGGGGAAAGCAGCCAGGAGCAGGUGGCUGGAAGCAGGAAGGAAAUGAUCUUGGAUGAGGAGAAGGGGUCUGGUUUGCAAAGAGAGAGUCUGGCAGAGGAGCUGGGGAAGCCCGAAAUCCAGAGUGGCACUGGAAGCUUCUCUGAGCAGCCAAAUCUUUCAGGCCAUAAAACAGAGACUUCCGAGCCAGAAAUAGGCAGUGCUAAAGAAACUUGGCCCAUGAGUAAAGGGAAGGAAGCAGAUAAAUGCCAACCUCCCCCAGAGCACAGGGCAGGGAUGCACAGUCCCACCAGGGAACUGGGGGUGGACAAGCCCAAGAGUAAAAGCAGAGAUGGGAAGGGCAAAAAGGCUGAGCACAAUCCUGAGCUGGGGCCAGGUGACAUCCCUGCAGUGGGACAAGUCCAACAAACUCGGUCUGAGAAGGGCAAAGAGAAUUGCAGGACUCCAGCAGCACUGCUGGGUCACCUGCCUGAUCCUGCCAAGGCACAGGCUCCUGCUGUGCCUCUGGAGCCAGGGAAAUCACACAUGGGUGGUGAAGAGAAGCACAAAAAGGGAGAGCCUGACCCACAGCAGCUUUUUCUUCUGGAGCAUAAAGCAGGAGCAGGGGUGUUCCCUCCUCCUGGCCUGGAGAUCGGGGACAAACCUGAGGCAGGAGGUGCCAGUCCUUGCAGCAGGAAUAAAAGUCCUAUUCCAGAGCAUCCAGCAGAGUCAGAUCCCAGCCUGGCCCCAGUCACUGAGAGAUCUAAAAAGAGGGGUUAUGAUGGAAGCAGUAAAAAGGCUAAAAAUGCCUCCAGGCAUUCUGUUCCUCUAGAUGCGAAACCAGACAGGAGCGAAGCACAGCCUCCCGUGGGAUCUGGGCUGGAAUGUGGGCUGGAAGACACAGAUUUUGUAGAUGAAAACAGAAAUAUUAAAAACUUUCCCAUUGGCCCUCAAAGGCUUUGGAAUAAUAAAGGAAAUGACUUCAAAUGCGUGGCUCAGACCACAGCAGGUGGCCCUGGUGACGUGGGUGAUGCUCCCUGCAGCCUCCCAAAGCAGAGGGAUGGUGGUGCAGGGACUGGGGGCCUUCCACCACCUCCUCCUCCUCCUCCUCCUCCUCCUCUGGAAGCAGUGGCAGAGAAAAGCAGCAAAGAGCCUAGACCUGGUGCUAAGGAGAUGCAGACCCAGAAAUCUCGUGAGCAGCCCAUCAAUCUGGGACACAAAGAACCUGGCAAAGAGGUCUCACAGAAAGAUGGGAAAAGCAGAGAGGCUGCUUCCCAGGAUGGUCAGUCCAAGGACAAAAGUCACCUUUCCCCUGUGGCAAAGGUGGAUGAUAAAGAAAUAAAACCCACCGAUAAAAAGCACAACACGGCCAAGGCUCCUCCAGAGCUUCCUCACGAGGUGCCAGAUCCAAAACACAGAGCAGCCUCUGGAGCUGCUGAAGGGACGGGGGGACCAGAGGCCACCGUGUCCUGUGCACAGAAGGGCACAGGGGGCAUUUCCCCAGCCCCUGCAGCCGUGUGCCAGGCUGUGCCAGGAGCUGGCAUGGACAGGAAAGCUGGAGAGGCUGAGCUGGGUGGCGGCACGAGGAGCAAGCAGAGCUCACCCCAAGAGGGGGGCACUGAGCCUGAGGCUGCUGGGUCACAUGGCACAGCUGCCCAAACUACCCAAAAAUGGCCCAAAGAGAACAAAAAAGAUCCCUCUCAGCCUGCAGAGGAGGGCCCUGCUUGUGCUGGCGAGGCUCUCCUGAAGGAUGCUCCUCAUGGUGGGGAGGCUCUGCUGAGGGACGCUCCGGUGUCAAAGUCUGAGGCAGAUAAACCUCAAGGCACAGCCAAAGAAAAGGAUUCUCAAGCCAAAACCAAAGAAAAGGAUUCUCAAGACACAAAUAAAGAAAGAGAAACUCAAGAAACAACUAAAGAAAAGGGAACUCAAGAAAUAACUAAAGAAAAGGAAUCUCAAGACACAGCCAAAGAAAAGGAAUCCCAAGACACGAGUAAAGAAGAGGAAUCUCAGGACACAGCUAAAGAAAAGGAGUCUCAAGAAAUAACUAAAGAAAAGGAAUCCCAAGCCCCAAGUAAAGAAACAGAAGAGGAAUGUGAGCAGAAAGCUGUGAAAGAGGCAAAGAAAGACAGAGUGAAGGCAGCAGAGCAGCUCAAGGGCUACAUGAGACCCACCAAGGCCCGAGGGGUGCCAGCCCUGGCGGCCAGGCCUGCCCCGGCCAGAGCCGUCCCCUGGCAGCCGAGAGCGGCCGCAGCGGCGCGGCCCCGGCCGGACCGAGGUGUGUGA
rnacentral:lncRNA from 13 species